rnacentral:rRNA from 1 species
AGUGAACGCUGGCGGUAGGCCUAACACAUGCCAGUCGAACGGCAGCACAGUAAGAGCUUGCUCUUACGGGUGGCGAGUGGCGGACGGGUGAGGAAUACAUCGGAAUCUACUUUUUCGUGGGGGAUAACGUAGGGAAACUUACGCUAAUACCGCAUACGACCUACGGGUGAAAGCAGGGGAUCUUCGGACCUUGCGCGAUUGAAUGAGCCGAUGUCGGAUUAGCUAGUUGGCGGGGUAAAGGCCCACCAAGGCGACGAUCCGUAGCUGGUCUGAGAGGAUGAUGGGCCAAACUGAAACUAGGACACGGUCCAGACUCCUAGGGGAGGAAGCAGUGGGAAAUAUUGGACAAUGGGGGCAAGCAUGAGCCAGACAUACCGCGUGGGUGAAGAAGGCCUUCGGGUUGUAAAGCCCUUUUGUUGGGAAAGAAAAGCAGCAGGUUAAUACCCCGCUGUUCUGACGGUACCAAAAGAAUAAGCACCGGCUAACUUCGU